rnacentral:tRNA from 1 species
GUCUCAGUAGCGUAGUGGUUAACGCACGUGCCCCGAACAGGUGCGAGACGCGGGUUCGAAUCCCGUGUGAGACG